rnacentral:rRNA from 1 species
CAGUCGCCGCGGUAAUACGAAGGGUGCAGGCGUUACUCGGAAUUACUGGGCGUAAAGCGUGCGUAGGUGGUUGUUUAAGUCUGUUGUGAAAGCCCUGGGCUCAACCUGGGAAUUGCAGUGGAUACUGGGCGACUAGUGUGUGGUAGAGGGUAGUGGAAUUCCCGGUGUAGCAGUGAAACGCGUAGAGAUCGGGAGGAACAUCCAUGGCGAAGGCAGCUACCUGGACCAACACUGACACUGAGGCACGAAAGCGUGGGGAGCAAACAGGAUUAGAUACCCGUGUAGUCCCUGUCUCUUAUAC